AGUUUGAUCAUGGCUCAGAUUGAACGCUGGCGGCAUUGCCUUACACAUGCAAGUCGAACGGCAGCACGGGAGCUUGCUCCUGGUGGCGAGUGGCGAACGGGUGAGUAAUACAUCGGAACGUACCCUGAAGUGGGGGGAUAACGUAGCGAAAGUUACGCUAAUACCGCAUAUUCUGUGAGCAGGAAAGAGGGGGGAUCGCAAGACCUCUUGCUUUAGGAGCGGCCGAUGUCGGAUUAGCUAGUUGGUGAGGUAAAGGCUCACCAAGGCGACGAUCCGUAGCGGGUCUGAGAGGAUGAUCCGCCACACUGGGACUGAGACACGGCCCCAGACUCCUACGGGAGGCAGCAGUGGGGAAUUUUGGACAAUGGGCGCAAGCCUGAUCCAGCCAUGCCGCGUGAGUGAAGAAGGCCUUCGGGUUGUAAAGCUCUUUCGGUGGGGAAGAAAUUGCUUCGGUUAAUACCUGGAGUAGAUGACGGUACCCGCAUAAGAAGCACCGGCUAACUACGUG
rnacentral:rRNA from 1 species